UUUCAUAUGACCCAAGACUUAGUCGAAGAUUUCAGAAACCAAUAUCCAGCAAGCACCGUCUGGCUCUCUGCUUGUAAGAUAUGGAAAUACAAUGCACGUACCUACAUAUAAAUAUGUGUAAUCAUGUGCCGAAGCAUAUUAUUAAGAGGCAAGGGGAUGUCCGGUUCUCCAUACAAACGUAGUCGCAAUUUUCCUCUCUGGAUAUUGAUAUUAUGGAAUAUGGAAUAUCAAAAAACUGACAGUGCUCAAUGCAUUCUGCUACAUUCUUCAAAUUUAGAUUUCAGCUUUCAGGUUUUGGCAUUAUUUUCUUCCAUCAAUCUCACGUUCUUCAGUGUUCAUGUGUACAGAUUUGUUCAGUUUCAGCACAGAUUAUAGUUACUUUAUGGUUUCAGGAACGCAUGAAAAACGAAAGUUUAAAAGAUAAUAAAUUUACGAUGGCUGUGGGAAAGCAACAAUAAUUUAAAGCAUCGAUAUAAGAUAAUCAUCUAUAAACUGUUUUCGGCCAUAGCGAAUACGUUUACCGCUAAGAAUGUCUCAAAGUAAAAAAAAGAAGUUCAAUAUACUGGCAUUGGUUUCACCAAGAACGAUGAGCGAGAAGCGAUUAGAAAUAUAAAACUGGAAACGAGUUGGGGCGUCCGGCUGCGACCGAAGCGAGUUUUUGAAUGCGAGUUUGACGUUUUAAACACCGUAUUUAAGGUUAAUAAGGUCUACAAGCAAAUAUCAGCCUUCGUGAAUUAAGUAUUGUAACCUUAGUCACAGAAUAGUAGUACAGUGGAACCUCGAUAGCACGGAUCUCAAGGGAAACGCCAAAACUUCGUGUUAACGAGGUUUUAUCUUAUAGAGUGCAUCGACUUAGAGAGGUUCUUGUAGGUUUUUGUUAGUCUUAAAAACACAUUAAAAUUCGUAUUAGGCAGGUGAUUAUACAUAGACACGUAAAAAUACAGUUUCUUUUUUUUUGAGUUACAGAGGUUCGUUAGUAAUAUCGAUAUAGAUGUGGUAAAACAAUACGACUAUUUUUUCUAGUCGCAUGGUC